GGGGUCGUAGCUCAGUUGGGAGAGCGCAUGACUGGCAGUCAUGAGGUCGGGAGUUCGAUCCUCCUCGACUCCACCA
rnacentral:tRNA from 1 species